rnacentral:tRNA from 1 species
UCGGUGGUAACUCAGCUGGUUAGAGUAAUUGUUUGUCACACAGGAGGUCGUAGGUUCAAAUCCUAUCCAUCGCA